UACAGAGGGUGCGAGCGUUAAUCGGAAUUACUGGGCGUAAAGCGCGCGUAGGCGGUUUUGUACGUCAGCUGUGAAAUCCCAGGGCUCAACCUGGGAACUGCAUUUGAGACUGCAUGGCUAGAGUAUCGAAGAGGGAAGUGGAAUUUCCGGUGUAGCGGUGAAAUGCGUAGAUAUUCGGAAGAACACCAGUGGCGAAGGCGGCUCACUGGCCCGGUACUGACGCUGAGGUGCGAAAGCGUGGGGAGCAAACAGG
rnacentral:rRNA from 1 species